rnacentral:lncRNA from 1 species
AUAUCAGGAGCAAAAGCACAACAGAUUCCUGAUGAAAACCAGAAAAGUAGUCAAGUUUAGCAGUGGUGAAUCACUCUCUUGCUGCGGCGGCGUCCCGCUGCGGCUACAUGAGUGACAUCGUAUUUGUUAUCCGUUUGAAUGUGUUGAUAUAUAUAUGUGGGCCUGGUGUGUUUUGCACCAAGGUGUAAGCGAUCAGUCAGAGAGCGAGGAACCUCGUCUUCAAGAAGUGAAGAUCGCCAGGCAAGCCCCAUCGAUUAUAUCCUCUCACGCUGUAUACACCACUUCCAAAAAUGUAAGGCACCUCCUAGACGUGUAGGCAAAAAAAAAUACCAGUACGGGCAGGCGAUUUAAUCAUGGAUGAUCGAUCAUAUGGUUGUGUGCUUCCCCG